rnacentral:rRNA from 1 species
UACGUAGGGUGCAAGCGUUGUCCGGAAUUAUUGGGCGUACAGAGCUCGUAGGCGGUUUGUCGCGUCUGCUGUGAAAAUCCAGGGCUUAACCCUGGACCUGCAGUGGGUACGGGCAGACUGGAGUGCGGUAGGGGAGAUCGGAAUUCCUGGUGUAGCGGUGAAAUGCGCAGAUAUCAGGAGGAACACCGGUGGCGAAGGCGGGUCUCUGGGCAGUAACUGACGCUGAGGAGCGAAAGCGUGGGGAGCGAACAGG